rnacentral:rRNA from 1 species
UACGGAGGAUGCAAGCGUUAUCCGGAAUGAUUGGGCGUAAAGCGUCCGCAGGUGGCUAUGUAAGUCUGCUGUUAAAGAGUGAGGCUCAACCUCAUAAGAGCAGUGGAAACUACAUGGCUAGAGUGCGUUCGGGGCAGAGGGAAUUCUUGGUGUAGCGGUGAAAUGCGUAGAGAUCAGGAAGAACACCGGUGGCGAAAGCGCUCUGCUAGGCCGCAAUUGACACUCAUGGACGAAAGCUAGGGGAGCGAAUGGG